UCCUACUGAGUCUUCGGAGCCCCCGCGGCAGCAAGACUAUGUUGCGAUAUUCCACAUCGCAAGGUGGGAGGAUGUUGGGGCUCCUAAUAAUUCUUUGGAGCAUCUACAUUAUUACUUACCUUUUUUAUAAUCAUAUUUACAAUAUUUUAAGUAUCUAUGAUUUGUCAAUAAAAAUAUGUCAAAAGCGCAACAUCGCAUAAUUUUCGUAAAUAGAUAAAAUCCCUUUGCAAAAAGGCAAUCUUCGGAGUUUUCCAAGAGAACCGUGUGCCGGACCAGCCCCGCUACGCGGCUAAAGGUUGGUGCGGCCACAUUAGUGGCGACCGUGGGAUAAAAUGGAAAACUUAGAAAAGGAGAGGUCAGUAAUGCGAAGGCUAUUUACGAAGGCGAAGAAUGAGUUGCUACCGUUAUUGACCACCAACCUACCAAAGCCGAACAUGGCGUUAAAGGUAAAAUACAAAUUUUUUGCCGUUCAUGCUGAAAUUAUGUUCGAGGUGGAUGAAAAAAUUAAAGAGCACUGGCUAAACAUGGAGAACCUGGACGAAGAAUUAUACUUUCAGGAAUUAGAAGCCAUUAAUGAGUAUGAGUCGGAGUGGAUCAAGAUAAAGACCAGAUACGAAGACGUAAUUAAUAAAGCAGAGGAGUGCAAAUAUAACAGUGCACCGGUAGUCAGUUCUCGUGACAUGGGAUGGUUGAGGCUACCAAAAUUGGAGCUUCCCAAAUUUGAUGUCAACGUAGAAAAAAGGCAGGUGGAAGUUGAGGAUCAUGAUGAGGUUUCUUCAUUAAAGAAAAUGGAAGUCUCUGAUGAUUCUGGUGACAGUGAUAGAAAUAUUGCGGAAAUUCAAGAGCAAAUACCAAAAGAUGUCUCAACAAUAAUCAUCAAAGAUGAAAACACUGCAAAGAAGGAGAGAGAACAAGUGGCUAAAGACAAUUUUGACAAUUCUGUUUCGAUGAAUAAUGAUGGAAGAUUUGAAGUGUCCUUGCCCUGGAAAGAUGAAAAGCCUGAGAUACUAAGCAACAAAGAAACGGUAAUGAUAAGACUCAAAGCUACUUCAAAAAAACCUGAGAAACAUAAUGGAUUAGAGAACUACGAUGCUUGUUGUUGUUUAGGAAAAGUUCGGAAAAGAAGAAGAACGAAAUGGAUAGUCAACCCGCCUGCACCUCCGUGGUGGAGAGGAUGGUGGGAGAGGAAGAUCCAACUACCUGACUGCAACUUGGAAGUGGUGGCCAACAAGGAUGGCUUCCAGUCGACCCGUUAGACCAGCGUUAAGUAGUUGCGAUAUUCCACAUCGCAAGGUGGGAGGAUGUUGGGGCUCCUACUGAUUCUUCGGAACCCCCGCGGCAGCAAGACUGUUGGGGCUCCUACUGAGUCUUCGGAGCCCCCGCGGCAGCAAGACUAUGUUGCGAUAUUCCACAUCGCAAGGUGGGAGGAUGUUGGGGCUCCUAAUAAUUCUUUGGAGCAUCUACAUUAUUACUUACCUUUUUUAUAAUCAUAUUUACAAUAUUUUAAGUAUCUAUGAUUUGUCAAUAAAAAUAUGUCAAAAGCGCAA